UUUAAUUCGAAGCAACGCGAAGAACCUUACCUAAGCUUGACAUCCCAAUGACAUCUCCUUAAUCGGAGAGUUCCCUUCGGGGACAUUGGUGACAGGUGGUGCAUGGUUGUCGUCAGCUCGUGUCGUGGGAUGUUGGGUUAAGUCCCGCAACGAGCGCAACCCUUGUCUUUAGUUGCCAUCAUUAAGUUGGGCACUCUAGAGAGACUGCCAGGGAUAACCUGGAGGAAGGUGGGGAUGACGUCAAAUCAUCAUGCCCCUUAUGCUUAGGGCUACAC
rnacentral:rRNA from 1 species